rnacentral:rRNA from 1 species
GAUUGAACGCUGGCGGUAUGCUUAACACAUGCAAGUCGAACGGAAACGAUACUAGCUUGCUAGUAGGCGUCGAGUGGCGGACGGGUGAGUAACGCGUAGGAAUCUGCCUGAUAGUGGGGGAUAGCCCGAAGAAAUUCGGAUUAAUACCGCAUAAUCUAUUCGUAGUAAAGUGGGGGACUUUCGAGCCUCACGCUAUCAGAUGAGCCUGCGUAAGAUUAGCUUGUUGGUAGGGUAAAAGCCUACCAAGGCGACGAUCUUUAGCUGGUCUGAGAGGAUGAUCAGCCACAUCGGGACUGAGACACGGCCCGAACUCCUACGGGAGGCAGCAGUGGGGAAUAUUGGACAAUGGGGGCAACCCUGAUCCAGCAAUACCGCGUGUGUGAAGAAGGCCUGAGGGUUGUAAAGCACUUUCAAUUGUGAAGAAAAGUUAGCGGUUAAUAACCGUUAGCCUUGACGUUAACUUUAGAAGAAGCACCGGCUAACUCCGUGCCAGCAGCCGCGGUAAUACGGAGGGUGCAAGCGUUAAUCGGAAUUACUGGGCGUAAAGCGUGCGUAGGCGGUUUAUUAAGUCAGAUGUGAAAGCCCCGGGCUUAACCUGGGAACUGCAUUUGAAACUGGUCAACUAGAGUAUGGUAGAGGAAAGUGGAAUUUCUGGUGUAGCGGUGAAAUGCGUAGAUAUCAGAAAGGAACAUCAAUGGCGAAAGGCAGCUUUCUGGACCAAUACUGACGCUGAGGUACGAAAGCGUGGGUAGCAAACAGGAUUAGAUACCCUGGUAGUCCACGCCGUAAACGAUGAUAACUAGCCGUUGGGGGGAUUUACCCUUUAGUGGCGAAGCUAACGCGUUAAGUUAUCCGCCUGGGGAGUACGGCCGCAAGGUUAAAACUCAAAGGAAUUGACGGGGACCCGCACAAGCGGUGGAGCAUGUGGUUUAAUUCGAUGCAACGCGAAGAACCUUACCUGGUCUUGACAUCCUGCGAACUUUCUAGAAAUAGAUUGGUGCCUUCGGGAACGCAGUGACAGGUGCUGCAUGGCUGUCGUCAGCUCGUGUCGUGAGAUGUUGGGUUAAGUCCCGUAACGAGCGCAACCCCUAUCCUUAUUUGCCAGCACAUCAUGGUGGGAACUAUAAGGAGACUGCCGGUGAUAAACCGGAGGAAGGCGGGGACGACGUCAAGUCAUCAUGGCCCUUACGACCAGGGCUACACACGUGCUACAAUGGGAAGGACAAAGAGCCGCGAAGCCGCGAGGUGUAGCUAAUCUCAUAAACCUUUUCGUAGUCCGGAUUGGAGUCUGCAACUCGACUCCAUGAAGUCGGAAUCGCUAGUAAUCGUAGAUCAGAAUGCUACGGUGAAUACGUUCCCGGGUCUUGUACACACCGC